UACUGAGGGUGCGAGCGUUGUCCGGAAUCACUGGGCGUAAAGGGCGCGUAGGUGGCGACCCAAGUCAAUGGUGAAAGCUCGAUGCUCAACAUCGAGUCGGCCACUGAUACUGGGUUGCUUGAGCACUGUAGAGGCUAAUGGAAUUCCGGGUGUAGCGGUGGAAUGCGUAGAGAUCCGGAAGAACACCGGUGGCGAAGGCGGUUAGCUGGGCAGUUGCUGACACUGAGGCGCGACAGCGUGGGGAGCAAACAGG
rnacentral:rRNA from 1 species